rnacentral:rRNA from 1 species
GAGUUUGAUCUUGGCUCAGGACGAACGCUGGCGGCGUGCUUAACACAUGCAAGUCGAGCGGAAAGGCCUCCUUCGGGGGGUACUCGAGCGGCGAACGGGUGAGUAACACGUGAGUGAUCUGCCCUCCACUUUCGGGAUAACUGUCUGAAAGGGUGGCUAAUACCGGAUAUGACUGACCGUUGCAUGGUGGUUGGUGGAAAGGGUUUCUGGUGGGGGAUGUGCUCGCGGCCUAUCAGCUUGUUGGUGGGGUAAUGGCCUACCAAGGCUUUGACGGGUAGCCGGCCUGAGAGGGGUGACCGGCCACACUGGGACUGAGACACGGCCCAGACUCCUACGGGAGGUAGCAGUGGGGAAUAUUGGACAAUGGGCGGAAGCCUGAUCCAGCAACGCCGCGUGA